ensembl:lncRNA
CUUGACUAGACUGGACACGAUGACUUGACUAGACUGGACACGAUGACUUGACUAGACUGGACACGAUGACUUGACUUGACACGAUGACUUGACUGGAACACUUGACUCCAGGAACACAGGACACCAGGAACACAGAGACGAACUGCAGCAGCAGGCAUGGGACCCAGCAGGAACUGCAGCAGCAGGCAUAGGCCCCAGCAGGAACUGCUGCGUGGAGAACCUGCAGGCGUGGACCAGGAAGUGGUUGAGUAGCGGGAGCGACGCGUGGAAGCCCAGCUCGGCGGCAGGUACUCGACAUCCCAAUCAGAGCAGGUGCACAUCCGAUCUACAGAGACCAUGUGCCAUCAGGUGGCAGUGACAGCUUUGAAGACACCUCCUCACCUGUUUAUGAGGAAUACAGAGAGUCCACCCACGAUGUAGAGCAGAACGAAGACGCUGACGGUGUUUAUGAUACUCUACCCCCAGCACGGCGGGCCUACGAGGGGUAUCCGCCAAGCCCCCCGGGCCUCAACCUACAUCCAGCUCAGCUCAUGCCUCCACUGAGGGCAUGGGACCUGCAGGCUGAGGGAUGGAGGGGCUCGCAGGAGGAUCGCGGCGAACUUGGAUCUGCUGGUUUGGCAGGUUCUGGGGAUGAGCUGGAAAGACUACUGAACCUGGUGUCCCUCAGAGCCAGGAGAGCCACACGGCUGAACAGAACCUCUACGGGAUCCGAGCCCUCAACAGGCUGGGAUGGGUUCAAAUGAGCUCGGUUUAAAACGUGUCCAUUUAAUAUUCCCAUUUACAUUUCACAGAAUUAUCUGCCUUUAUAGUAGAACAUCUCCAGUGCACCAUCUAAAAAUAAUUGAACAUAUAUAUUUAAAAAAAUGUAUAAAUAAAUGCUUCUAUUAUUCUGCAUUAUUUUCCCGGUGUAAACAAGCACUAAUCCACCACCAAUCCCCUGGAUCUUUUCUAAGCUGGAAGAACUAAGAGGAAAUAUAUGCGUGUUCUCUAGACGCCCUCACCUGUGCUGCUGCAUGUGAGCGUUAGCUGCAAUUGGCUGUGAAUCAAAGCUUUUACAUUUAUUAUUUAGAGUCGCUGAAGUGCUGCAUUUGGAGCUCAUCUCUCUCUCUCACUUUUUGGAUGAUAUCAACAUGCCCACAUGUUAUCGUGCAUUUCAGACAUUGUUCCAUCGACUCACACACAUACGGGCAUGUGCACGCAGACAGACAGAAUCACCUGGUGAACUCAACAUCAUCUUAAGGUAUUUUUUUAUAUUUUCACGGGUGUGUGCUUUGGGUUGUUUUGGAGAGAGCUGUUCACCCACAUCCUAGAAACAGCCUGAGAGAAGUUAAGAUUACCAACCCAGAUACUAAGGGAUCCUCACUUAAUUGUUCUAUGAAUAUUUAUUUGAUGAUUAUUUAUUUGUGUCAGCUGCUUUAUUAGUACACAUCCUGUGUUUGUUUUGUGUAUAAAAAUUAAGGCUUAAGGUAAUGUACCGUGGGUGUUUUUAUUUCAUCUGACAAUAGUGAAAAUAAAUGCAUUUGUUUUCAGAAUCUCAGCCCUUCUUGGAUGCUUCUAACACCCUUUUGACUCAUUCUGCCAUUGAAGGACCCAUGGAGGACCAAGCUUCCUGAUGCCGAAGCACAUUUUUUUCCAGAAUGACUUGAUGGUCUUGAGGUUUCAUUGGACCCUGAACAAAUUCACGACUUCCCGUGCCAGAAGCAGCAAAGCAGUGCCAGAGCAGUGGGUAUGCGGUCUGCCGGAUUUGUGUCGGUAUACUUGGAGCUUAUACGACAUCCCAGAAGGUUCCAGCUAAGCAUCUUUUGUCCAAAGGACAUCCUCCCUGAAGCUUUUGAUGUAUUGAUAUGCAAUAUGUUAAUAUCCGACAGUGACCUUGACUUUGGAGGUCACCUCUCAUCUCUUUUGAAGCUGUUCUAGCCCACUUGAUCAUUAUAUGUACUAUCCAUCUGUUUAAAUCAAUUAUCCUCUGAAUAGCCAAUCCAGAGGACCAACAAGCAGCUCGAGGAUGAUCUUUCAGCCUUUAACAUGUUGGUCAAUAAUUACUGUUCUAAUCUCCUAAAACAACUCUGUCUUCAGCUCCCUGUGGUUCAUUUUCUGUGAGGUGCACACCCUGAUGUGUGCACGAAUGAGUUUCUCUAGGUUCUGUCAGAACAUGAGACCUCUAAGUCAUGCUAUUUGAUGAAGAUGAUCCUUAAUGUGACCAGUGAAGCUCAGGUGUGAAUCAAUUAUGACAUCAAGAUUUCCAAUCUGGGUCUUUGUCUUCAUUGCUCUGGCGCCAAGCUGAACAAUAACCUCUAUCCCAUCCGUCUUAAUUCCAAAGACAAUAACUUCAGUCUUGUCUUUGUUUAGCUGGAGGAAGUUUGACUGCAUCCACUGACAGAGUGAGUCUAGGGAACCACAGUCACUAAGUGACUUUACACCCUUCAAACAGACAGACUGGCUUAUAACAGGAUUAGAGAAAAACGUGAUGAUAAUUAAAGGACACAUCUUAGCCCCUUUAGACCCUUUGGUCACAUAAGGCCCUGUUCAAACAAUUGGAUGCCUAAAUUGGUGGAUGAUUUAAAAAACGUGGCAAUAUAAAAAUCAGGGAUUGACUGGUUUGACAAAAGGUGUAUACGGAUCAAUUUCACA